rnacentral:rRNA from 1 species
UACGUAGGGGGCAAGCGUUGUCCGGAAUCAUUGGGCGUAAAGAGCGCGUAGGCGGCCCAGUAAGUCCGCUCUGAAAGUCAGGGGCUCAACCCCUGAAUGCGGGUGGAUACUGCUGGGCUAGGGUCCGGAAGAGGCGAGUGGAAUUCCUGGUGUAGCGGUGAAAUGCGCAGAUAUCAGGAGGAACACCGAUGGCGAAGGCAGCUCGCUGGGACGGUACUGACGCUGAGGAGCGAAAGCAUGGGGAGCGAACAGG